rnacentral:misc_RNA from 1 species
GAUGAAGAACGCAGCGAAAUGCGAUAAGUAAUGUGAAUUGCAGAAUUCAGUGAAUCAUCGAAUCUUUGAACGCACAUUGCGCCCCCUGGUAUUCCGGGGGGCAUGCCUGUCCGAGCGUCAUUACAACCCUCAAGCUCAGCUUGGUAUUGGGCCCCGCCGACCCGGCGGGCCCUAAAGUCAGUGGCGGUGCCGUCCGGCUCCGAGCGUAGUAAUUCUUCUCGCUCUGGAGGUCCGGUCGUGUGCUCGCCAGCAACCCCCAAUUUUUUUCAGGUUGACCUCGGAUCAGGUAGGGAUACCCGCCGAACUUAAGCAUAUCAAUAAGCGGAGGA